UGGGGAAUAUUGCACAAUGGGGGAAACCCUGAUGCAGCGACGCCGCGUGAGCGAAGAAGGUUUUCGAAUCGUAAAGCUCUGUCCUAUGAGAAGAUAAUGACGGUAUCAUAGGAGGAAGCCCCGGCUAAAUACGUGCCAGCAGCCGCGGUAAUACGUAUGGGGCGAGCGUUGUCCGGAAUUAUUGGGCGUAAAGAGCUUGUAGGCGGUUCGUCGCGUCUGGUGUGAAAGCCCAUCGCUUAACGGUGGGUUUGCGCCGGGUACGGGCGGGCUAGAGUGCAGUAGGGGAGACUGGAAUUCCCGGUGUAACGGUGGAAUGUGUAGAUAUCGGGAAGAACACCAAUGGCGAAGGCAGGUCUCUGGGCUGUUACUGACGCUGAGAAGCGAAAGCGUGGGGAGCGAACAGG
rnacentral:rRNA from 1 species